GAUUAAGAGUGUUAAUUUUAAUAAAUAAAUAAAUUUUCGUUUUGUGUUAUGUUGAAAACUUUUUUUAAUGUUAAUUAUAUAAAAAAAAUCAUUAGUGUUCAGUACAUGUUUCAAAACUAAUAAAAUGUUUAUUAUUAGAUACAUUAAUAUUUUUAAAUUUAAGAAAAAGUUUAUUUUAUUGUGUUUAAUCCCAUUUCCCUCUUUAUUCAAACCUUUCAAUAUGUUUUAAUCAUAAGUACGAGAGUGAUUUCAAAAAUACGAAUUUCUUCCAGAAUUUCUUACGAGAUUAUUGAACGCUAGAUAUGACAACCCUGCUGAUAACACUGUCUCAGUCAUGGCUCCAGAUUUAACGGUUUGAUUGUACUUACAAUUUUAAAUUAUUUUAAAAGUAGGCGUUAGAAUUCAAUAAUGCAAUUUAAAAAAAUGGACUAAAUAAAUUUUUUUAUGAUUUGUUUAUAAAGUAAACAAUUCAAAAUUUAAUAAAAAACGAACUUAAAACGUGAAGGGUGUACUUAAAGUGAUACAGCCACAUAAGUUAGCACGUGGAUAUAGUGAUCCGAAAUUGAAAAAUCAUCAAUGCGUACUUAAACUACAGAUUAUACACAUUGUAUGGUAUUUAACAAUAAAUAAAUUAAAUUAUUUAUUUGGAAAAUUUAUAAGAAACGUAACUCUGUUAGAUAGCCUUACAAUCUGUUUGAGACGUACGUUUUCAGUCACGCAGGAUAGUUACCUCUAGGGAUUAUUCCAUUUCAAUUGUAUUUAGGGAUAAUGAAUUGUAAGAAACAAUAACAGUAGCGAAUUCAAACAUUUAACGACUUGUGAAAUAUCUCUUUAAAAGGAUCUGGCCACUCCAGCUGUUAAAAGAAAUGCAGCAAAGAAAAAAUGUGUAAAAUGUGUGUGUGUGUUUUAUGUGUAAAAUAGGAAAAACAAUACUUUACAUAAAAAAGAUGAAUCUAAUAAAUCGUUUAAAACAUGCAUAUAAGUGACUUCCGAAAGAGGACUCUCGUUAUCUUUUUCUUUGUUUUAUUUUCUUGUUGCUCAAUUUUUUCGUUGAAUUGUUGGUUAUUACUAGGCAUUCUAUAUAAAAAUUAUUUUAAAAAAUAUCAUAAGAACAGACUUAGAUAUAUUUUAUCAUCAAAGUAUUUUAUAUGGCAUGAAAAGCUUGUGGCGAAAUAUGUAG
rnacentral:lncRNA from 1 species